CGCUAUUUAAAGAUGAAAAAGAGUCUGGUCAAGUUCCGUUCUCUCAUCCACAUGUACGUCAACCGCAAGAGAUACGUCAAGAUGAAGCUGGAGGCCCGCAGGAAAGCAGAGGAGGAGAGAAGGAGGAGAGAGGAGGAGCUGACGAAGAGAGAAGUGGUUAACGUCACACACCUG